UCCUGACCUCGGAUCAGACGUGAUUACCCGCUGAACUUAAGCAUAU
rnacentral:rRNA from 1 species